UUCCGGUUGAUCCCGCCGGAGGCUACCGCUAUUGGAGUUCGAUUAAGCCAUGCGAGUCGAGAGUCUUAGGGACUCGGCGUACCGCUCAGUAACACGUGGGUAACCUGCCCUAUGCUGGGGAAUAACCUCGGGAAACUGAGAAUAAUACCCCAUAGCCCACCAUGCCUGGAACGGUUGGUGGAUCAAAGCUCCGGCGGCAUAGGAUGGGCCUGCGGCGUAUCAGGUUGUAGGGGGUGUAACGUACCCUCUAGCCAUCAACGCGUACGGGUGUUGGGAGACAUAGCCCGGAGAUGGAUUCUGAGACACGAAUCCAGACCCUACGGGGUGCAGCAGGCGCGAAAACUUGGCAAUGCGAGCAAUCGUGACCAGGGAACUCCAAGUGGCUGGGGUAAUACCCAGUUUUUUCUUGACUCUUCAAAGGUCUUGGAAUAAGGGGUGGGUAAGGACGGUGCCAGCCGCCGCGGUAAUACCGGCGCCUCAAGUGGUAGUCGCUUUUAUUGGGCCUAAAACGUCCGUAGCCGGUCUGGUACAUUCGUGGGUAAAUCAACCCGCUCAACGGGUUGAAUUCUGCGAGCACGGCCAGACUUGGGACCGGGAGAGGUGUGGGGUACUCUCAGGGUAGGGGUAAAAUCCUGUCAUCCUGAGAGGACCACCUGUUGCGAAGGCGCCACACUAGAACGGAUCCGACGGUCAGGGACGAAACCUAGGGGCACGAACCGGAUUAGAUACCCGGGUAGUCCUAGGUGUAAACGCUGUGGACUUGAUGUUGGGGGCGCUCCGAGCGCUUUCAGUGUCGAAGCGAAGGUGAUAAGUCCACUGCCUGGGGAGUACGGUCGCAAGGCUGAAACUUAAAGGAAUUGGCGGGGGAGCACUGCAACCUGAGGAUUGUGCGGUUUAAUUGGAUUCAACGCCGG
rnacentral:rRNA from 1 species